rnacentral:tRNA from 4 species
GGGCGAUUAGCUCAGUGGUAGAGCACUGCCUUCACACGGCAGGGGUCACUGGUUCGAACCCAGUAUCGCCCACCA